rnacentral:rRNA from 1 species
GACAGAGGGUGCAAACGUUGCUCGGAAUCACUGGGCGUAAAGGGCGUGUAGGCGGGAAUGUAAGUCUGGCGUGAAAUCCCUAGGCUCAACCUAGGAACUGCACUCGAAACUGCGUUUCUUGAGUAUCGGAGAGGAAAGCGGAAUACCUGGUGUAGAGGUGAAAUUCGUAGAUAUCAGGUGGAACACCAGUGGCGAAGGCGGCUUUCUGGACGAUAACUGACGCUGAGACGCGAAAGCGUGGGGAGCAAACAGG